rnacentral:tRNA from 1 species
GGGGACGUAGCUCAGCUGGGAGAGCGCUGCCUUCGCACGGCAGAGGCCGAGGGUUCAAAUCCCUUCGUCUCCA